CCUACGGGGGGCUGCAGUGGGGAAUAUUGGACAAUGGGCGAAAGCCUGAUCCAGCCAUGCCGCGUGUGUGAAGAAGGCCUUCGGGUUGUAAAGCACUUUCAGUGGGGAAGAAAGCCUUGGGGCUAAUACCCUCGAGGAAGGACAUCACCCACAGAAGAAGCACCGGCUAACUCCGUGCCAGCAGCCGCGGUAAUACGGAGGGUGCGAGCGUUAAUCGGAAUUACUGGGCGUAAAGCGCGCGUAGGCGGUCUGAUAAGCCGGUUGUGAAAGCCCCGGGCUCAACCUGGAACGGCAUCCGGAACUGUCAGGCUAGAGUGCAGGAGAGGAAGGUAGAAUUCCCGGUGUAGCGGUGAAAUGCGUAGAGAUCGGGAGGAAUACCAGUGGCGAAGGCGGCCUUCUGGACUGACACUGACGCUGAGGUGCGAAAGCGUGGGUAGCAAACAGGAUUAGAUACCCGUGUAGUC
rnacentral:rRNA from 1 species